rnacentral:tRNA from 1 species
CAGGUUAUAGCUCAAGUGGUAGAGUGUAUGCUUAGCAUGCACAAGGUCCUGGAUUCAAAUCCCAGUAUCUUCU